AUUAAGGCUAUUGUAAAGGCUUCUUAAAAAUGCUGUCGCUGAUGAGCCUCUGAUCGCUGUCAGAUUCUGUGAUAUGAAUGUCCGCUAAUGGGUUUAGAAUGAGCCCCGCUCGGCCCGUGUUCUGGCUUACUGUAAUAUUUCACCUGUAAUAAGACCAAAAUAAUAUAAUUAAAAUAAAGAAAUGAAUGAAUACAUGAUAACAUCUAAAUAAAUGUUGAUAGAUUUAGUAAAUAAUAACCGAGAUAACCGAUUAAAUAAUAACCGAGAAAGACCUAAAUAAUAAUAAUACAUAAUUAAUAAACAGCGCCGCCCCUCCCACCACGCGCAUCACGCGCUGUGCGUCAACCCCAAAGCGUCAAAAACUGAACCGUGGUCAAGCGCCUCUAGCGUCACUGACAUGAGAUGUUUAUCGCUUUGAAAUCACGUUCAAGAAGUCUCAUUCAGCACACAUCGCGAUACUUUCCAUCAGUUUGCAAGAGCCGCAGGUUGGGUGAGUUAUACAGUCUAUGGUGAGUAGUAGUAAAUAUGCUCUUUUAAUGCCUGUCAUAAAACGUAUUCUGUCUUCUUUAUUAAUCAGAUGAGCGCCUUAUGUUUACUCUCUGUAUUACAUCGGUCAUCCGAGGCUGUCUUUGAGUUUCAUUGUGUUUGACUAAAUGAGCACAGCUGCUAACUGGUUAAACUCCAUAGGUCACGUGACGUGCCACAUACCUGGGAUCCGUUUUAUAUUCAUUUCAGGUUCAAAGAUCUGAAAAGACGUAAAGUAAGCAGUCACCCCAGUGGUGUUUGUGGAGAGGUAUUCCUUCAGAAAUGGAGAAGACAGAAAGCUGCAGAGGCAGGAUUGUUUCCAGAUAACACUGUAGUUCUCCGUCAUGCACAAGGAUUCACCUCUUUAACUCCCCCCCCCCCCCCCCCCCCCACACACUCACA